rnacentral:lncRNA from 1 species
CUCGGUUCUCUUCUUGGUUGCGUUUGCGGGAAACCUAGUUUCAGGAGGAAUGGGUCUUCCGACCGUGAGUGAGGCCCUACGUAUGAAUGAGAAUCAGCCAGGCCGGGAGUGGGCGUCAGUCCCAGAAGAGCGAGAGCAGUGAAAAGCCUCCAUUUGCCACAGUGGAAGGCCUUCAAGUUACCAGACACACAAUUCCCAGACAAGUUGGAAACAAUUAUUGCUUGAGGAAAAGCAGUUCAUUGUACUUUUUCUUCAUAAAAAAAGUGCACUUAAGUGCCAAGUCAGCUUGUCAAGAAACAAUUUUUAAAUAUAAAAUAGUGCUUGUCUGAUUUUUUUUUUUUGUGCCACUGUGCAGUAUAAAAAAGACGUGGCCCUCAACAGCCAUUAAGUGCAAAGUGCUUUAGCAAGUCCUGCUGUCACCUGCACUCAACUGACAUUCCAUUUUGUGAUGAGCUGGACAUUGAUGGUUCAGCUAAAGUUAACAUAACAGCAGCUGUUAUGGAACUGGAUGAAGGUGAAGAAGAGGAGGAGGAUGUAGCAGCACCUAAGGAAAAGGGAAACCAAGUCAACAGCUGAAUGAAACGUGUGUACAACAAUAAGUACACUAGUCCUCUAGCCUAAAAUUUUGCCGUAUUCUCCAAAAUCAUUUAGCUUACAAAAGCAGUCAGUUCUCACAAUAUCAUAAUGUAGAGAAAGGAAAAUCUAGUGGAUCUCAAGUAGCUAGACAGUGUCAAACUACAGAAGUUAAGAAAAAGGAGAGCCCAGGAAAUGCUCCUGUAUGGAUCAACGAGGGGAAAAAAAAUCGUGUGCUCUCUAUUUAAGACAUAAAAAUAACAGAGAAUAGACUUUCUGUAAUAAUGAAACAAAUGUCAAAAAGAGGUUUGAAUCCAAUAGGAAAAAAAAAAAUCUGUAUUCCACCUAAUAAUCUUUCCCCUCCUCCUAAUUCCUGUAGCCUUCUAUGUCUGGAGUUUCUUAUGAAUUUAAAUGGUGACAAGAAUGGAAGGCUAAUUGCAUCUUAAAGUUAAAACAAAAGGGUACCUAGCUCAAUUACUGCAUUUGACAUAGCUGACCACUCUCCUCCCCCUAAAACUCUUUCCUUGGCCAUCUUUUCAUGGUUUUCUUCAUUGAAGGCUACUCCUUCUCAAGUCUUGUUGGUUUUGGCUUCUGCUCAGCCCUAGCUCUAAAAGUUGGUUUGCCCUAGCUUUCCUUCUCUUCUUUACUACCCACAUUUCUUUCCUAGGGGAUUUACUCAAGUACUAAAAACCUAAAAACCAGUUGCAGUAACUAUUGUAAAGAGAUAUGCAAAUGACUUGAAAAUUGUAUCUCUAGUCCUGACUUCUCCCCUGAGCUACACACGUACAUAUCCUCCUGUCUGUCGCCACUGGGAUGCCUGAUAGGCAGGCACUUCAAAGAGUAACAUGCCUAAACCAGGAUGUCUGAUCCUUUCUGUGCUCCACAACCUAUCUAUAACCUUGUCUUGUCUAGGUCUUCUUCAUUUUCAAAACUGGCACCAAGUAUUCACUGGUUGCAGCCAAAAACCCACACGUCCUCCUUAAUUCUCUCUCCAUCUGCCACAUUUAAUCCAUCAGUAAGGGCUGAUAACUCAACAUUCAUUGCUCUCCACCUUCACUGAAACCACCCUGGUCCAAGUCACUACCCUUCCUACACCUACUGCAACGGGCUCCGAUUCACACUGCUUCAAUCAGUGCCACUCUAGAGUCUACUUUGCACAUGGCAGACAGUGAUCUUUAAAAAUAAAUAGUCACGUCAUUUCCUUGUUUAAAACGUUCAAAUAGCUGUCCAUCUGCUUAAAAUAAAAUCUGAACUCCUCAUCCUGGCCUACAAAUUUUGGCUUCUGCUUACCUAGCUGAUACUUCAACCACAUUUUCUCACCACACUGGUUUUCCUUCUGCUCCAGGAAGAUACCAAGUGCCUUCCCACCUCAGAGUAGGGGUGAUUUUGCCCCCUAGAGGACAUCUGGCAAUGUGUGGAGACAUUUCUGGUUGUCACAACUGAGAGGUGCUACUGUCAUCCAGGGGGUAGAGGCCAGAGAGGCUGCUAAAUAUCCUAUAGCGCACAGGACAGCCCCUUAUAACAAAGAAUUAUCUGGCCCAAAAUGCCAAUAGUUCCAAAUUUGAGAAACUCUAUCUUAGAGAGUACUUGCUAUUCUCUCUGCCUAGGACCCUUUCAUGGACUGAAUUGUGUCUCCCCAAAAUUCUACAUUGAAGCCCUAACUCCCAAUGUGAUAGUAUAUGGAGAUAUAUAGCCAUGAGGGAGGUAAUUAAGAUUAAAUGGGGUCAUAGGGUGAGACCCUGAUCCAAUAAGACUGGUGUCCUAACAAGAGAACAAAGAGAAACCAGAGAUUUUAUCUCCCUGUUGCACAGAGGAAGGGAAACGUGAGGACACUGCGAGAAGGCAGCCAACUGCAAGCCAAGGACAGACACCUCAGGAGAAACCAAACCUGCUGACGCCUUGAUCUUAGACUUCCAGCCUCCGAAACUCUGAGAAAUAAAUUUGUUAUUAGAACCACCCUAUCUGUGGUAUUUUGUUAUGACAGCCCGAGCAGAGACUAAGACAACUCUUCUCCCUCAGAUUCACUCUAUUCUCUUCACAGUGCUUUUUACUAACUGAAAACUUACUAGGAUUGUUUGGGGGUGGAUUGUAUGCUCCAUGACGGUAAAUACUAUGAUUUGAGAUAAUUUUUUCUUUGGACAAAUUUUUCCAUUUUAUAGAUGAGGAAAAUAAGGCCGAGAGAUUAAAGAACUUACCUAAAGAUAUACAGACAUACACUCAUGUGAGUCAAACUGUAGAGUCAUAAACUGCUUUAUGUUUAAGUAAAGUAAGGUAAAAACACUUACUUUCUCUCUCUUUCUUCUUUAAACGCUUUCUCCUCCGAUCAAUGGAAGCUACUUCAGAUUUUAAUGACAGAUAAUGUUUUCUGAUUUCUUGCAGUUUUUCUUGAAGAAUUGUGAUGCGUUCAGCACUUGUCAUAUUUUCUAGGUCCGCUAUGAAUUUAAAACUUUCAUUAAUAUGUAUUUUUAAACAAAAUUUUAACAUAUAAAAGAGACAACAUAUAAUGUGGUUAUAGAACAAGGUCAAGACAGGAAAAUUAAAAAUAAGGCUUGUGUAUAUUUGUUUCUCUAAGAUAUUUUUUUCUAGCCUAGAACGAUGCCUGGAGCAUAAUAUAUACAUCAUAUUUGUCAAACAAAUUAGUGUGUAGAAAUAAAGACCUUAUAACCUAAGCAUAUAUGCUAAAAAUUCCACAUUCAUGUACAG